AUUCCAUUGCUGAAGAUGAGCUUUCUCCAUCCAACCAAGGAGGAUUAAUAUGGACAGAUCUGUAUUUAUGUUAUCCUAGUUUAGCAACACCAACAGAAGAGAGAUCCCUUCUUUCAUCUAGCAUCUAUAUAUCAAUCCUAGGGAAGACCAUAAGUGGCCCAAACAGACACACACCCACCCCUUGGACCAAUCACUAUUGUCAGGAGGAAGGAGCAAUAUGAUUGGUUCAGUCUGGGACAUGUGCCCAUCCCUGUGGCCGGAGAAGGAGGACACCAUGACUGAAAGCCCCAGUAGAGUCCCAUGAAGUAGAGUAAGGAUUCUCUCAAAGGGAAGGGGAACUAUUACCAGACAUAAAAGAGACCUAAAACUUUGCUCCUCCCUGUGGGGGAAAAAAAGUCUGGAAUCCAUGGCAACGUAGAGGCCUCAGGAGUAAGAAUGUUAGCAGUGAAGACUCUCUCCAAGGCUCAGUAUUUCAGAAAACUUAGCAGAAUCCCACAUACACAUGACUUCCAGCAUCACAGACUACCUAAAAUGUCAUUUCCCCUCCCCCUUUUUCUUGAAUGAUAUCAACUGUUGUAAGGAUAUUGUGAAUCAAAAGCUCUGAUUGGCUUUUGAGCAAUUCCACGAAAUUUCUGAAAUGUGUAGGCAAUGCAGGCACCCUCAUCUGACAGUUGUGGUUUCUGAAAUGAAUGGUGGUAUCCAGUUUACAAUCGACUUUGGAAAUGGGUUUAAAGUGAUGGACACAAGUUACAGAUAUAUUCCUUUUUCUAGGAAAAAAAUGUUUCAAAAUGCAGGAUACAUGUGGGACUGGCUAAAAGGAGUCCUCAGUGAAAAGACUGGAAAACCACUGGCGAAAGUCAUGUCUGGAGAAGAGCAGGAAUAGACAGGAUCCACAGCUAGGACCUCGGCGGAGAAGUUAGAGAGGUGUGAUGGAGUGGAAGAAAGACUGGAUUUGGGGCCAGAAGGUGUGGGUACCAGCUUGGAACAGUGGAAAGAACAGAUUUGUAGACUGACUCCCUGAUCACAAUCUGUGCAGCUAGUCUCUACAUCUGUAAAUGAGAAUGUGCCUGACCCGGAGUAGACACUCAAUAAGUAUUUGUUGAGCAGAAGAACCCACUGACUUUGUAAGGCAAAGGCAGCAUAAAGCAGAAUGUACUUAAGGUAUUUGUGGGCUUAUUUCAUACCAAACCCAGACUAAUGUUUGAAGAAAGAAAACUGAAUCAGCUCAUGAAUUAUGCUGAAGUUUACACUUCUC
rnacentral:lncRNA from 1 species